GCCACUACCCGCGUGCCCUCCCCGCUCCCGUCUCGCCCUCCCCUCCCUCUCCCUCUCCCGCCGAAGCCGCCGAGCGCCACCUCCGCCUCCCCCUCGCGCCGCCGCCUCCACCUCCGUUGCCGUCGCGUCGCCGCCGCCUCCGCCUCUACCUCCCCCUCGCGCCGCCAGCUCCGCCUCUGCCUCCUCUUCCUUCCCCUCUGCCUCGCGUGGCCGUCGCCGAGUGCGCCACCUCUGGCUCACGCCGCCGCUGCCGUCGUCGCUGUAGAGGAGGCGGAUCCGACCUCCAUGUGUUUGGGGGACGCGGAUCUGACUGACGCAACGUCGUCAUCCGCUGUCGUCGCCAUCGCCGAGCGUCACCGCUGCAUCCUCCGCCACACCUCCGUCCUUCACCGCCAAAGACCGCUAUGAGCGGUCGACCUGGGGUGGAGGCGUGGAGCCGGCCGCCAUCGCCGCAACUUCAUGGCAUAGGGGACGGUUGUCCGUCGAUUUGAGGAGUGAGAGGCGGCAACAGCAAUAAAGAGGGGAGAGGCCUGCCGGCGGCUGUAUGGUGGAGAAGCGCCGCCGCAGCCCGCAUCCCCUCCUCUCGCCCCUCCCUCUCCCACCCGGGCGAUUCGCAAGCCGCCGCUGCCACCGCUCUCGACCGCCAUCGCUGCCGUCUCAUGGGCUCCAGGAACCGCCGGCGGGGGUGAUCUUGACCUCGACCUCAGCCUUGGCUGCUUCAAUGGUUGCAUGGGGAUAAGUGGAGCUCCGUCCUGGAAGGGUGGAGGCGGGAGAUGCUCUGACCAUCGGCGGCUGGCAUCAGCAUCAGAUCCAGGCUGCGGUGGCGCGGAUCGAACGUAGAGGCGUGAUCUGAUGACGGUGGUGGAGUUGCAACCAAGGUCGAUGGGGAUGUCGAGGGCGUUGCUGAUGAAGAAGCACCCCAGUUAAUGAUAUGGCUCGCUUCUCUGGCUCGAGGGCGUUGCGGAUGAAGAAGCCCCAUGCUCUGGCUCAGGCUCCGCUACGGGGUUACCAUACCGUAGAUUAUAUUGUCAAGAUGCACAGGACAUAAUGAAUAAGUUCAGCACGCCGCAGACACGUCGUGGUCAAUUCCUCAUCGGAAGUAUUGCUUGGUGCUUGUGUAUUUUUUCCGCAUAGAAAUAAGAUGGGAUGGAUUUUUUUUCUCCACAGAUUAUUUUAUAUGUUUCUAAGAAUAGGAAUAUGAAGUGGAAAAUAUGGCAUGUGUUCUGUAUGCUAAUAAUCUAAUAGAGUGGAUCAGGUUGGUUCGAGUUUGUUUGCAAGGCAAACCAACAUUACCUACAUAGAUGGCACCGUGAUAAUCAUGGAAUUGUUUCUUCUCCUUUUUACAUGAUCCUGUAAAUGAAAGGAAGGUACUACUGAUUUAUUGGAUGAUCUUUCGUGACUUGCGGCUAAAAUGAUGGUGUAGUUUUAAUCUCUGUAUUCCCGUUUCAUAUCAUAGAAAAAAAGAACUAAUGUGGUUAAAAGGUGAGAUAUUGUAUUUUUGUUGAAUGUUUAUAAUCUCUAAUAGGUUUAUUUUUCUGGUUUUGAGGCUUGUGGGCCUAAUAUACCUUGAGACAGUGGCCCAUGGCUGAUAACCGGAAAUGAGUCAUGACUUACUGCUGGGACUUAUCGAAGAUCCUGUUUUGAGAUAAAUAUGAUUUCAUUUCAGGUGGAAGUUCUGUUAUUCUAAAGGAAUCAGCAUCUGCCUUCUAGAGGUGAAAAAUGUAUAGUCCUAAUUACUAAGGCAUUGUUUGAUGUCUGCCCUUCUAGAGGUGGAAUGUACAAUCCUGGUUGCUAGGGCAUAGGAUGAUGUUUCUUUUAUUUGGCUUGUCCUGUGUUUAUCUGGUUAAAUGUCAAGAAAUGUGCCAUGUGCUAUUGUCUCCCAUGAAACAUUGAAAGAAGAAGGGUUUAUAAGGCGGCCCUAUACAUUAGGUCUUUAGAUGUAGUAUCCUUUCUUUGACAAGCUCUGAUGGCCUACAAAAACCGGCUCUCACACCAUUAGGUAAUGUUAUGUUUCCAUUAAUUUUACUGGGAUAUUGCAUUACUUGGGAUAAUCACAUGCAUUUCCAUGGCAAUUUAAGGUCUAGCAAGAAAAUAGUUUACUAAACGGACCAAGAUAGAAUUUCAAGUCUUACGAGUAAAAGUUGGGAUGAUCUGGUUUAAUGCUAUAAUUUGUAUGUACCAAAUAAUUCCGUAGACAUCCUGAAUACCUAAGUACUUUAAACAUUUUCGUAUGAAGAGUUGUUAGGUCUGCUAGCAGCAGUACGCUAUUACUUCAAGUUAAUCACUGCAUGAAUUUCUGUUUAUGGGAAUCUUGAGAUUUACAAUACAUUUGAAUGCUUACAUUAUAUGUAGCUAAAUAAACCCAACUAAUGGAGGGUCAGUUCAUUUAUUUAUCAUGCAAGAUUGUUAGUUUAACUAUGUCAGAUUUGCAUAGGGUUCAGGGUUUAGGGACCUCAUUAAUAACCUCUACCACCAUCUGAACCUAAAGAUUUUGCAUGCUCUGGUUGCAGCUUCAACCAUUCCUUGGGUUUGCUUCUUAUAAUUGAUGUAUAAUUUAUUUUUGAUUUGGUAUUAUUUUCUAUAGUGACAACCUGUACUAAUUACAGAUCUAAUAUUGUGCCUCAACCUCACAUGUUGAAUAUGUUGGCUUACGUCAGUUAGACCUCUACGUAGAAAGCAUCAAUGGUUGUGAGGCCUACUGAUUUCUCUCUCACUCUAAGUCCGAGAAAAAUAUUGUCGUGUUGAUGCUACUUCCAAAUUUGAGCAUACUAAGAUGCACUGAUGAACAUGGUACUGUUACAUUACUCUAAGAUGUGAUUUCAGGCUCAUGGUUCUUCGUAUGGUAUAAGUUGCAGGUAUUGAAGUGCUGGGCUGGAAAUUCUCACAAAUGCUAGGUAUGUGGGCACUCCAGAACAUGGGUUUUAGCAUAGCGUCCGGAUAACAUUUUUCCAAUGUUUAUUUGCCUAAAAGUGAUCUUUAAUUACUUGUAUAGUUUUUACCGCCCCUUGUAUAUUGUGUGGGUUAUGAUUACAUCUUUUCAAUUCGCAUGUGUUACAUGUGCUCCCUUAGAAUGGUUUUUAAUUUCUUGUAGUUUCUGCAGGGCUAAAUCACAUGUGUGCCCCUGGAAAGCAUUUUCAGCUGUUUGAAUCUUGCUUUUUCUCAUCUUAAUGAACGUCUGCAUUUAAUUUUUUUUUAGGCAUUCAUGCUUCCACACAACGGUUGUGCAUUUUCCCUGACUUGUUUGAUUGCAGGACACCCAGCAGCACUGCCACAACAAGUCAGCAAUCAAAGUCUCCAUGCGCAUGUGCAUGCUGGUAACCUCUACCACUAUGUGCAUACAUAAUAAAUUAAAUUUACUUUUGCCACUUGAAACCUAUAAACACAGGCAACUAUUUUUUUUCUUUUUCAUUUCCAAAGGUUUGUUUCAGUGUUAACCUUGGUAUUUUUUUUCCUAUCAAACUAUCCAAGCUGAAUGAGUGCAAGGAUAUUUUUGAGGCUUUGUACAAAUUAUUUAUGAUCUACGCACCUACUUGAAGCCACAUGUAAGAAUCUUGAACUUUUUUAAACCACUCAUUUAAUUUUUAUUUUUGGCUAUAACAUUGAUAUAACCUUUUGUUGUAUAGAUUGCCAUUCUUGAUAGUGUGACCAUGAGUGGUAUAGCCGAGAUGUUUCCACUCCUAUAACAUUUUACAUUGCCACUAAAAACAAUGUGAUUGGUCAGUUAAUAGGUGCAACCUUGGAUGAGAAAAAUACUUUUUGGAUUUUCUCCUGAUCUGUUUUGUCAUAAUUGUCAUGUUAACCUUUGAAAUCUAAUCUUGGGAUGGAGAGUUAAUGGCUUGUAUGGUAGGAUGUGUUGCUGCUCGUGUGCACACUACACAGUAGGUGGGGGGUGUGAAGGGGUCAUAUAUUUUUGUCUGGUAGCUUUGCUCGUGGGCCACAAAACACCUCUUGUCAUUGCUUCUGUUGAUGCAUAUGCUACUGCAAACAGCUAUGAUUAUGUUCAGGCUGUGAUUUGUUAGUGGACAGUUGCCCCUGUCCAAACGGGUCCUCUGAAUGUCCAAAAUUUCUUUUACUGUUUUGUUGAGCCUUUUUAUUUGUGGGAUGGGAUUUAUAUCUAGGUAAUAUUAACUACCACAAUGUAUUGGUUGCUAGCUGUUGGGGAGUAUUUUUCAUCUGUCAGUCAGUGGAACUCAGGUCUGCAGUAAGUUUGUUCAUGAUUGAGAGCAUAUAGCUUAUAUCUCACCCAGCUGCUGACUUCAGGCAGAUAGAAACAAUUACACUUUUUUUGUGGUAUCUGUGUAACAUACUGCUAUCCCCUCUGUUUUUGUCUGGUAGCUUUGCUGCCCAUUUUUAGAUCUAUCUUGCUUGUCAUGUUUUCUCUACUUUAUUUUUUAACAACACUUUGCAAUGCGUUCCGUUUUGGCAAUUAUAUGAUAUAUAUUUUUCUGCUUAUUAAUCUUAACAGGUUGAAAUUAAUAUAUUGAUGUUGUAUCAUCACAGAGGCGGUCUUUCUUAGUCUUCAAUAUUUUCUUAGAGCUAAACGGUUAUAUUUUUUUUGGUGUCUACUUAGCAACAAUGCCAUCUCUUCAGUUAUUGCAACUGACAGAGCAUGGACACAACCUUUUGUCUUUGAGAAGGUGUGCUGUUUUAACAUUAUAUUUCUAAAUUUUAGUAAGCCGAUCAUUUAGUUCUUAUCUCAUGUUCCUUAUUCUUUACAAAUAUCAACAUGAGAGCUCUUGCAGUUGUUUCUGGUGUAUUACUUGCGGGUGGAACUUUAGCGUAUGCUCAGUCAGCUCGGCGCCAAAAAUGUCAGGAAGAAUAUUCUCAUAGUGAUGCAAAUACAUAGACCACGAGUAAUCAGAUCAUUUGUCAAAAUGGUGUUGAUGGUAAAUUGGUAAAAUCAAGGAAAAAGAAAGAUGGCUCCUCCCAUUGAAUUCAAGUGUUGAAAUAUGUGAUUCAAGUAUUCUGAUUGAAUACUUAAAUUCAAGUAUUCAAAGGUCUUACCAACAUGUUAUCUGAAAGAGCACUGAAUCUAAACCAUAGAACUUUAUCAUUUGAAGGUUGUUCAAGUUACUAUGAGACCUGCCAAGCAAUCUGCGCUGGUGCUACAAGAUUGCAUAUCCACAUGUUUAUGUAGUUCACAUUUGUUUCCCAAGUGGUGAAGAUAUUCAAAUCUAUAUGUCGUUACUACACAGAAUUGUUCAAGUCAGUAGUGUAAAACUAGCUAAUUAUAUUCAACCAGCUUCAAUUUUCUUACCA